GUCUGGAUGGUGCAGUAGUUACCACAGCUGCCUUGCAAGCAGUAGGUUCUGGGUUUGAGUCCCAGUCCAGCACA